AAAGGGAGCUAGAAAAGAUAAGAGAAGUGUGAAAAGCUUGGAAUCUAUGAAAACUCAAAACAUAAAGAAAAAAAUAACUUCACAAAUAAAAUAAGAUUAUCUCAAUGUUAGUUGUUUUACCAUUGAUGUCCGCUGAGGUUUUUCGUAGAACACAGCGAGCGUUUUUUUGUGUUCCCUCCCGAGUUUCCGUUAGCUCAGGAAGUGUCAUAGUUCAGGUCAAUGUUCAGUGCAAAACACCUCAGUGGGAAUAUGUGUUAAAACAGCGCACAACAUGAGGCGUGACAUGCGGAACGUCGGGCUCACCCUACGAAAAGCAGUGUAUGAUCAACACCACCCCCAGCCAGGAGAUCUGCUAGUAGUGAUGGCUCUCCCAUUCUUAGAUACCCGAAAAACCACACAAGGGUUAAGCAUUCCAGAUGAUUUUCAAAGGCUGUGUCCUAACCAACUCUACUUACUUAUUUGGAGUUCAAUGGAAACAUUGAAGUUCCAGGCACGUGGGAUGAUGCCAGAUGCUGGAAUAGCAGCAAUGCCACGUACAGGCAGGGAUGACUGGGACCUUCAGUGGGUAAGAUGUGGGUGCCAAAUUUGGGAACAUGUGGUCCUUGAAAAACGCCUCAUCUCCAGCAAUAUGAGUCUGCCAGAGGUUAUCACGCUGGAUGGGGAUGGUGAUGGAGGCUUUGGUGGUCCACACAAUGAAGAAGCAUCAAUGAAAUGUCUAUCUCAGUAAAAUCUUUGAAACUGUUGCAUAUACAUUUUUGCUCAGUAUAUCUUUACAAUAAAAAAAUAAGGUGACCACCGAAAGCCAGAUGGAGACGUGUUAAUUAGAAGCGCACUCGGUCCUUAUAUUACCGUAGCAUAGGCUUUGAGCGAAUGUCGGCCUACCUGUCACAAGAAAAAAAGUUACCAUUAUGAGAUGAUAGGUCUACAUGCAUUGUGAACUGCGCUCCAUGCUGAGAUGGGCUGUAUGUACACACCCUGAGUAUUGAUGAUUGGUUAGGCAGAGAGAAGGCCAUAGACAAGCCAGAUUUAGACAUUGCAUAUCAUUUUACAGUUCCAUUUCACUUCAUGCACUUCCUAUAAAUAAUUUAUUAUAAUUUACCGGUUUCUCGCUGUUAUUUUUCACGGAAGAAAGGAGG